rnacentral:misc_RNA from 1 species
GAUGGAAUAGUUAAUCUGCGGCUACUCCAACUUGAUAAUGUGAAACUAGAGGGAAAUUUGGGGAAGUUACCUUCUUCACUGAAAUGGCUCCAGUGGAAAAGAUGCACUCUUUCAAGUUAUUAUUCUAAUUAUUACCCAAGUGAACUUGCCAUACUUGAUCUCUCAGAGAGCCAAAUAGAGAGGAUUGGAAGCGGGGAAUGGACCUGGAGUCGUAAAAAGGUAUGCUUUUACAUUUUCCACAUAUAUAAUAAAUUAAUGU